CGGAGGGAGAGGUUCAUGUCCAACCUGAAAAAGGAGUACAUGUGCAAUUGCCAUUUAUUAGGCUCUGGGACCUGAGCCCUAGGACCAUGCCCCAGGACUACCUGGUCUGAUGACCCCUUGCUGUCCCAGUCCACCUGGUCGUGCUGCUGCUCCAGUUUCAACUGUUCUGCCUGCAGCGAUGGAACCCCGACCUGUUCACCGGAUGUGCUACCUUGACCCAGACCUGCUUUUUAAAACUCUCUCUACCGUACCUGCUGAUUUGACCUCUGAAUUCCCGGAUAUGAAAAGCCAAGUGACAUUUACUCCUGAUGUACUGACCUUUUGCACCCUCUACAACCACUGUGAUUAUUAUUUGACCCUGCUGGUCAUCUAUGAACGUUUGAACAUCUUGGAGAACAAUCUGGCCUUAAUGGCCAUGUACUGUUAUAAUCUGCACCUGGUAGAGCCAGAAGAGGACUGGCCACCCCUCAGAUCCACCGUGCUUCUACAUCUGCAUUGCUCGCUGUUUGAGGUUUAGCUCUUUUUGACAUCUGCUAAUGUAAAAAGGGCUUUACAAAUAAAAAAAGUGUUCUUAUUCCUUUA